UAGGGAAUAUUGGUCAAUGGGUGAGAGCCUGAACCAGCCAUGCCGCGUGCAGGAAGAAGGCCUUCUGGGUUGUAAACUGCUUUUGCCGGGGGAUAAAAUGGCUUUGCGAAGCUAAUUGAAGGUACCCGGUGAAUAAGCCACGGCUAACUACGUGCCAGCAGCCGCGGUAAUACGUAGGUGGCAAGCGUUGUCCGGAUUUAUGGGUUUAAAGGGUGCGUAGGCGGUUCUUUAAGUCAGUGGUGAAAUACAGCCGCUUAACGGUUGAGGUGCCAUUGAUACUGAAGAACUUGAGUACAGACGAGGUAGGCGGAAUUGACGGUGUAGCGGUGAAAUGCUUAGAUAUCGUCAAGAACACCGAUAGCGAAGGCAGCUUACUAGACUGUAACUGACGCUGAGGCACGAAAGUGUGGGGAUCAAACAGGAUUAGAUACCCAAGUAGUCCCUGAGCGGGCUGGCAAGGCGCAU
rnacentral:rRNA from 1 species